UACGUAGGUGGCAAGCGUUGUCCGGAUUUACUGGGCGUAAAGAGCGCGCAGGCGGUCGUUCAAGUCGCGUGUGAAAGCCCCCGGCUCAACUGGGGAGGGUCACGCGAUACUGAUCGACUCGAAGGCAGGAGAGGGAAGUGGAAUUCCUGGUGUAGCGGUGGAAUGCGCAGAUAUCAGGAGGAACACCGGUGGCGAAGGCGGGUCUCUGGGCAGUAACUGACGCUGAGGAGCGAAAGCGUGGGGAGCGAACAGG
rnacentral:rRNA from 1 species